AAUGUGAUUAUAAUUUGCUUAAUCAUAUCGAGGAAUAAGAGAUAUUUCCAAUAAAUGUAUUGCCUUUUCAUAUUUAGCCGUAUGCUAUGUCUGCCGAAACGCCAACAGAUCCGACGCUUUCUGUGAGCAAACGGAGAGCCCGGGGAAAAGAAACUCUAAACCUUUAACUUUCCCUCUUAAUCCAAAAAAAAAUUGACAAAUAUUAAGUAAAGUUGAUUCAUUGGAAGAAAAUGAUUGAUCUUAUGUGUAUAUUGAUAAAGCAACGUAACAAAUUAAGGUCUAUGUUUACAUACAUAUGUACUUAUGUAUAUGUUUCUGUACAUCCCAAAACAUUCCUGCAGUUCCACAAUUCAUAGCUACUAAUAAACCAGAUAGAGGGAAUUCAUUCAGCACAGCGGACUCUCUCGCUCUCUCAUUUCAUUUAAAAAUCCGUAUGCUAUGUCUGCCGAAACGCCAUCAGAGCCGACGCUUUCUGUGAGCAAACGUAGAGCCCGGGGAAAAGAAACUCUAAACCUUUAACUUUCCCUCUUAAUCCAAAAAAAAAUUGGGCUCAAGGCUCCAAAGCUCAGGCAUUACGCACCCCAUAAAUUAAAAAAUUGGUAUGCUUUAGUAACAUUGUAUUAAAUUAAGAAUUUAUCUAAAUUAUUUUGUAUGGGAGGCUCAAACGAAUAUAUUUACAAAAAAUAUAGUAACAUACUUUUGGCAAUCGUA